GGCCUCGGCCCGACUCCCCGCCGGGCUGCUCCAGUUCCACCGCCGCGUCUGCACCGCCGUGCUCAGUUUGAAACACCCGCUUAUUUCUUUCCCCGUUUCCUCUCUACUUCUCGAUUCUGUCCUUGUUUGGGCAUCACUGUGGAGGGGGGCGGGGGGCGGGCAGCAUCUUAGGACCAGCGGCGUUGGUGGCUCUUCUCCUUGGGGAUAGCUCGUGAACUCGAGCAGUAGGAUCCCAGCAGGGAGAGAAAUCAGGAUAAAAAUGAGAACUAGAAUUUCAUUCCCAUCCAGGUCGAAAGACCCACACGCAUAACUCCUUUCUGGGACACUCGCUUGCAUCUCAGCACCGGCAGGAAGGGCCGGGAGAGCGCGCAACUCCGCGUCUGAGCCUCGCGGUGGAGGCUGGCGGGUUGGCUCACACGGACGCAGGACACCGCCCUCCGGGAAGCGGGUCGGAGCAAGCCAGCCUUAUUGCUGCGGGGACCACGCGGGAGAGACUUUUGACACAAGCCACGUUUGGUUUCAAAGAAAAGAGGGUACUUCCCCGAAAUUUGCCCUCCCAUGGCGGUGCAGGGCCCUCCGCUCAAAGCGGAGCUCCACCCGAAUUUGACAAGUGAAGUUGGUAGACUUGGGACCAUAAACUGGAAAACAAGAUAUGAAAGUAUGCUCCAAUCAAUCUUUACUGUUCAUAGAGGACAACCAUUUGGGAAAUUCACAGACCAUUGAACCUUGUCUCUGAAUUCCCAGUUCAGCACCUUUACUUUUAGAGAAGAGAAACACAACUCUGAAGAGGACACUUUGAAAGUGUAACAAAAUGACAUCCAGAGCUUAUCCAGAUGAGCAGAGAGCAACUGAAUUGCCUUCUGCUCCUUUGUUGAAGAAGAGAGAAAAUUCUUCAACCAGCUAGAAAUGGCAUGAGCAGGCCAUCCCUUUCUGAGCAGCUGCUACCAAGUCAGGCAGAAGUUCACCGGAGAUUCCUGAUGAAAACACAAGACAAGCCGGACCCAUGGAUCCAUGAAACAGUCUCCCCUUGAUAUGAAUCAAAGGUAGACACUUCCCCUUCCCUUUCUUCCAAGUGACUUAUAUGCAACAAAUGAACUCACUUUUCUUAUGUUUAUUUAGUUCAGGUCCUCAUGUUUCUUCCUGGCAAACAUGCCUAUCAAGUUCAUGUGACCCAGCUAAAGGGCUAUGGUCAUUUUUUUCUGGCUAAAUAAGCAGGUGGACCACACACCAGGGUCAGUGAUGUUUGAAACCAAACCACCCACUACUAGUGCGAAAAGGAGCACGCGUGCAGGGUAUGGUGAUUUCCUUUCAAGGUGUUUACAUGGAGACAGGAGCUUUCUCUUUGACUGUGGGAGACUGUUCCCUGUUUGGUCCUGAAUCCACAUGCUCCUCAAUCUUUCCAUUUCUUCUCUUUCUUUCAGCCUUGUUACUGGCUUUGUAAUACUUGAAGUUAUUCCAACCAUAGAGGUUUCUCUUUUUGCGGCACUGCCUGUGGAUAAGCAAUGUGGACUAUUCCCUUAUUUCUGCUGCUCAGGAAAUACACAAAUUCUCUUGAUUCUUUCAGAAUGUUUGAUUAUUUCAAGUUUCUCUUCAAUAUUGAAACUUUCCUUUUGCAUGCACCAUUUGACAUUAUGAAUCACGAGGCUUAGACAUUCUUGGUAUGUUAAAGGAGUGGUUUUUUUUUUUGGUUUUUUUGUUUUAAUUUUUUUUAACGUUUAUUCAUUUUUGAGAGAUAGAGACAGAGUGCGAG